rnacentral:rRNA from 1 species
GACGAACGCUGGCGGCGUGCCUAAUACAUGCAAGUUGAGCGCUGAAGGUUGGUACUUGUACCAACUGGAUGAGCAGCGAACGGGUGAGUAACGCGUGGGGAAUCUGCCUUUGAGCGGGGGACAACAUUUGGAAACGAAUGCUAAUACCGCAUAAAAACUUUAAACACAAGUUUUAAGUUUGAAAGAUGCAAUUGCAUCACUCAAAGAUGAUCCCGCGUUGUAUUAGCUAGUUGGUGAGGUAAAGGCUCACCAAGGCGAUGAUACAUAGCCGACCUGAGAGGGGGACCGGCCACAUUGGUAUUGAACCCCGGCCCAAACUCCUCCGGGAGGCACCAGUAGGGAAUCUCCGGCAAUGGACGAAAGUCUGACCGGGAAACGCGGGGGGAUGGAAGAAGUUUUUCGGAUCGUAAAACUCUUUUGGUAGGGAAGAACGUUGGGGAGGGGGAAAAGCUCAUCAAGUGAGGGAAACUACCAAAAAAGGGACGGCUAACUACGU